rnacentral:tRNA from 1 species
GGAAGUAUAGCUCAGUGGUAGAGCACAUGCUUAGCACGCACAAGGUCCUGGGUUCAGUCCCCAAUUCAUCCA